CGCGCAGGCGGUCAGGAAAGUCAGAUGUGAAAUUCCGGGGCUCAACCCCGGAGCUGCAUUUGAAACUUCCUAUCUAGAGUUCAGUUAGGGAAAACGGAAUUCCACGUGUAGCGGUGAAAUGCGUAGAUAUGUGGAAGAACACCAGUGGUGAAGACGGUUUUCUGGGCUGAUACUGACGCUGAGGCGCGAAAGCAAGGGGAGCAAAACA
rnacentral:rRNA from 1 species